UACGAAGGGGGCUAGCGUUGCUCGGAAUCACUGGGCGUAAAGGGUGCGUAGGCGGGUCUUUAAGUCAGGGGUGAAAUCCUGGAGCUCAACUCCAGAACUGCCUUUGAUACUGAAGAUCUUGAGUUCGGGAGAGGUGAGUGGAACUGCGAGUGUAGAGGUGAAAUUCGUAGAUAUUCGCAAGAACACCAGUGGCGGAGGCGACUCUUUGGCCUGUAACUGACGCUGAGGCGCGAAAGCGUGGGGAGCAAACAGG
rnacentral:rRNA from 1 species